GCCCGCUUGGCUCAGUGGUAGAGCGUGUCACUAGUAUGGAACGAGGCAGAUGAUGAGAUCAUCUCAAGGUCGUGGGUUCGACCCCCACGUCGGGCU